AUACGUAGGUGGCAAGCGUUGUCCGGAAUAACUGGGCGUAAAGCGCAUGUAGACGGCAUGAUAAGCCAAAUGUGAAAUGUAGGGGCUCAACCCCUGCACUGCGAUUGGAACUGUCAAGCUUGAGUGCAGGAGAGGCAAAUGGAAUUCCCAGUGUAGCAGUGAAAUGCGUAGAUAUUAGGAGGAACACCAGAGGCGAAGGCGGCUGACUGGACUGUAACUGACGUUGAGGCUCGAAGGCGUGGGGAGCAAACAGGAUUAGAUACCCUGGUAGUCCACGCUGUAAACGAUGAAUACUAGGUGUGGGGGGACUGACCCCCUCCGUGCCGCAGUUAACACAAUAAGUAUUCCACCUGGGGAGUACGAUCGCAAGAUUGAAACUCAAAUGAAUUGGCGGGG
rnacentral:rRNA from 1 species